rnacentral:rRNA from 1 species
GACGAACGCUGGCGGCGUGCUUAACACAUGCAAGUCGAGCGGUAAGGCCCUUUCGGGGGUACACGAGCGGCGAACGGGUGAGUAACACGUGGGUGACCUGCCCUCAGCUCUGGGAUAAGCCUGGGAAACCGGGUCUAAUACCGGAUAUGACUCCAUGACGCAUGUUGUGGGGUGGAAAGCCUUGUGCGGCUGAGGAUGGGCCCGCGGCCUAUCAGCUUGUUGGUGGGGUGAUGGCCUACCAAGGCGACGACGGGUAGCCGGCCUGAGAGGGCGACCGGCCACACUGGGACUGAGACACGGCCCAGACCCCUACGGGAGGCAGCAGUGGGGAAUCUUGCGCAAUGGGCGAAAGCCUGACGCAGCGACGCCGCGUGAGGGAUGACGGCCU